rnacentral:lncRNA from 1 species
GUUCAUGCCUGUCAUUCCAGCUACAUGGGAGAUCAUACAUAGUAGGACCAAGGUCUGAGGCUCCCACCCUGGUCAAAAUCAUGAGAUGCUACCUGAAAAAUAACCAAAGCAAAAAAGGGCUGGGGGUGUAGCUCAAGUGGCAGAGUGCCUGCCUAGUUAAGUGUGAAGACCCAAGUUCAAACCCCAGUACUAUAAAACAACAAAACAACAACACAAAAAUAAUACAAAACAAGCAAAGAAUCCCUUCAAUGCCAGCUUUUGGUAAACUCCAGAAAAAGGAUACAUUUGGGUUGUGUGGAGGCAGGCUGUCUGCAUGUGUGCCCUGGCCCAGCCACUAUCCAACCUUGGGCAAUGCCUCAGUCUCUUUAUGCUUUGGUUUCUUUGUCUGUAACAUGGGGGCAGUAAUAGCAAUGGGCUGUGAUAAGGAUUGAACAGAUUUGAACAUGCCAACUGCUUUGAACGGUGACUUCACAGAGAAAAGUUCUCCAUGACCUAGACCGUUACAUUCUUACCAGUAGCUUUAUAGGUGCUAAUGAUUUUUGUUUCAAGGGAUUUUCAUUUUUAACUUCUUUUUGUUGAAAUUUCAGAGAGGUUUUUCUUUUUCUCAACUAAUAGGAAAUGAAGAUGACUGAUCAUAGAAGGAUGUCUAGACCAGAAAGUGUGUUGUUGUCUACAACACAGAGUGCAAAUGAAGAGCAGGAGCUCAUUCCCAAGAUAAGAGCCACCAAAGGACCCCAGGGCUCUGAAAUCAGGCUGCACCAUUACAACCUACUCCUUCAGCUGUGCAGAUGGAAGAAGGUUAAGAAAGGAACUGCCAACCACAAUGUGCAAACUGUCCAGGCUUUUGUUGUUUCUGUGUUGUUGUAA